AUUGAACGCUGGCGGCAUGCCUUACACAUGCAAGUCGAACGGCAGCGCGGGGGCAACCCUGGCGGCGAGUGGCGAACGGGUGAGUAAUAUAUCGGAACGUACCCAAGAGUGGGGGAUAACGUAGCGAAAGUUACGCUAAUACCGCAUACGAUCUAAGGAUGAAAGUGGGGGACCGCAAGGCCUCACGCUCCUGGAGCGGCCGAUAUCUGAUUAGCUAGUUGGUGGGGUAAAGGCCUACCAAGGCAUCGAUCAGUAGCUGGCCUGAGAGGACGACCAGCCACACUGGGACUGAGACACGGCCCAGACUCCUACGGGAGGCAGCAGUGGGGAAUUUUGGACAAUGGGGGCGAACCCUGAUCCAGCAAUGCCGCGUGAGUGAAGAAGGCCUCGGGUUG
rnacentral:rRNA from 1 species